AAAUUGAAGAGUUUGAUCAUGGCUCAGAUUGAACGCUGGCGGCAGGCCUAACACAUGCAAGUCGAACGGUAACAGGAAGCAGCUUGCUGCUUUGCUGACGAGUGGCGGACGGGUGAGUAAUGUCUGGGAAACUGCCUGAUGGAGGGGGAUAACUACUGGAAACGGUAGCUAAUACCGCAUAACGUCGCAAGACCAAAGAGGGGGACCUUCGGGCCUCUUGCCAUCGGAUGUGCCCAGAUGGGAUUAGCUAGUAGGUGGGGUAACGGCUCACCUAGGCGACGAUCCCUAGCUGGUCUGAGAGGAUGACCAGCCACACUGGAACUGAGACACGGUCCAGACUCCUACGGGAGGCAGCAGUGGGGAAUAUUGCACAAUGGGCGCAAGCCUGAUGCAGCCAUGCCGCGUGUAUGAAGAAGGCCUUCGGGUUGUAAAGUACUUUCAGCGGGGAGGAAGGGAGUAAAGUUAAUACCUUUGCUCAUUGACGUUACCCGCAGAAGAAGCACCGGCUAACUCCGUGCCAGCAGCCGCGGUAAUACGGAGGGUGCAAGCGUUAAUCGGAAUUACUGGGCGUAAAGCGCACGCAGGCGGUUUGUUAAGUCAGAUGUGAAAUCCCCGGGCUCAACCUGGGAACUGCAUCUGAUACUGGCAAGCUUGAGUCUCGUAGAGGGGGGUAGAAUUCCAGGUGUAGCGGUGAAAUGCGUAGAGAUCUGGAGGAAUACCGGUGGCGAAGGCGGCCCCCUGGACGAAGACUGACGCUCAGGUGCGAAAGCGUGGGGAGCAAACAGGAUUAGAUACCCUGGUAGUCCACGCCGUAAACGAUGUCGACUUGGAGGUUGUGCCCUUGAGGCGUGGCUUCCGGAGCUAACGCGUUAAGUCGACCGCCUGGGGAGUACGGCCGCAAGGUUAAAACUCAAAUGAAUUGACGGGGGCCCGCACAAGCGGUGGAGCAUGUGGUUUAAUUCGAUGCAACGCGAAGAACCUUACCUGGUCUUGACAUCCACGGAAGUUUUCAGAGAUGAGAAUGUGCCUUCGGGAACCGUGAGACAGGUGCUGCAUGGCUGUCGUCAGCUCGUGUUGUGAAAUGUUGGGUUAAGUCCCGCAACGAGCGCAACCCUUAUCCUUUGUUGCCAGCGGUCCGGCCGGGAACUCAAAGGAGACUGCCAGUGAUAAACUGGAGGAAGGUGGGGAUGACGUCAAGUCAUCAUGGCCCUUACGACCAGGGCUACACACGUGCUACAAUGGCGCAUACAAAGAGAAGCGACCUCGCGAGAGCAAGCGGACCUCAUAAAGUGCGUCGUAGUCCGGAUUGGAGUCUGCAACUCGACUCCAUGAAGUCGGAAUCGCUAGUAAUCGUGGAUCAGAAUGCCACGGUGAAUACGUUCCUGGGCCUUGUACACACCGCCCGUCACACCAUGGGAGUGGGUUGCAAAAGAAGUAGGUAGCUUAACCUUCGGGAGGGCGCUUACCACUUUGUGAUUCAUGACUGGGGUGAAGUCGUAACAAGGUAACCGUAGGGGAACCUGCGGUUGGAUCACCUCCUUACCUUAAAGAAGC
rnacentral:rRNA from 1 species